UAGGACGCAAGUGCAGGGUGCCAAGCGGAGAGCCUGGAUCAUAUUUCACAUGUGCCUGUCCCAGAGGAAUUCCUUAACUCUCCCUUCCUGGAACCGAAAUGCUUCCAAAGACAGAGAGCUCCUAUAUAUAUUUCUCUGUUUUCCCCAGAGGACCGUGCAUGAAAGGCGCCUUUCCUGGCGCGUGUGUCUCUGACCCUGUGGAUCUUCUGGACAAUUCCCGGAAUUUCUUGCAGGGCAGCACUUCCCCUUAAGUCGUCUCUUUCUCGUUUGGAUAGUCAGUAUUUAUAUAGUCACUAUUCUCUUUUGGUUAGCCAUCUAAUUUUAUACUGCUAGUCAAGCUCUACUCCCUUCCCCCUAGAGUUUGAAUUUAUUUUUCUUCAAACGCUACACAAACCCAAAUAAACUCAACCAAAGCGGACUUUACCUACCUUCCUACCUACCUACCAAGAAAAUAUCCCACAAAGGAGAGAACGGAGAAGCUUGCAAUACAGGAAGAAAAAAAAAGAAUUACAGAAUGGAAGGGAUGUGUGCGCUAAAAAUGCAGGUACUUAAAGGAAAUUGGGCUGAUUUGUACUGGACACCGAAUUUGAGGAAUACAGGAUCUCAACCUUUCUUUGACUGGAUUACUUUUUUAUUCCAUUUUGGUGUGGACGCGUCUGAAACUGAUAGUGCUGCUGCUACCUACCAUAAUGUGUUUGUUGCAAGAUCCACAAGAACGUGGAUGCCAAGAAUCCACAAAAAAAAAACAGAUGCAACCGUUGAUGAGGCCAUAAGCAGAAACAAAAUCUGAAGAGACACGCCUGCCCACUCUUCACAGAGGGAAACAUCUUCUAAAUGUGGGGAACACUGUUCUUGAAGGUUCAUGAUAUAAUCCUGACUCACACUUAAAUCCCGGAUCCUUUGUUUCCAAAUCUGCCAGCAAUGAAGCACUUCUUGAGAAAGCUACUUGGAAAUCUGAAGUUGGAAGAUUGCUUAAUCCUGGGAUGCAGAGGCUGCAGUGAUCCAAGAUUGUGCCACUGCAUUCCAGCCUGGGUGACAGAGCAAGACAUUUCCACCCCCACACAGCAAAAAA
rnacentral:lncRNA from 1 species